rnacentral:rRNA from 1 species
UACAGAGGAGCCAAGCGUUGUCCGGAUUGACUGGGCGUAAAGCGCACGCAGGCGGCUGUGCGCGUGGGGUGUGAAAUCUGGCCGCUUAACGGCCAGGCGCCAUCCCAUACGGCGCGACUGGAGUGAUGCAGAGGUCGAUGGAAUUGCCGGUGUAGUGGUGAAAUGCGUAGAGAUCGGCAGGAACACCCAGGGGGAAACCAGUCGACUGGGCAUCUACUGACGCUGAGGUGCGAGAGCGUGGGGAGCGAACCGG